GACGAACGCUGGCGGCGUGCCUAAUACAUGCAAGUAGAACGCUGAAGGAGGAGCUUGCUUCUCUGGAUGAGUUGCGAACGGGUGAGUAACGCGUAGGUAACCUGCCUGGUAGCGGGGGAUAACUAUUGGAAACGAUAGCUAAUACCGCAUAAGAGUAGAUGUUGCAUGACAUUUGCUUAAAAGGUGCAAUUGCAUCACUACCAGAUGGACCUGCGUUGUAUUAGCUAGUUGGUGGGGUGACGGCUUACCAAGGCGACGAUACAUAGCCGACCUGAGAGGGGGAUCCGCAAAACUUGGAAUGAGACACGGCCCAGACUCCUAAGGGAGGCAGCAGUAGGGGAACUUCGGAAAUGGACGGAAGUCUGACCGAGCAAAGCCGCGUGAGUGGAGAAGGUUCUCGGAACGUAAAGCUCUGUUAUAAGAGGAGAAAGAGUAUGAAAGUGAAAAGUUCACACUGUGACGGUAUCUAACCAGAAAGCAACGGCUAACUACGUG
rnacentral:rRNA from 1 species